rnacentral:lncRNA from 1 species
UCGCCCCUCCUCUCGUAAACAUGCCACCCUUCCCGCAAUCUCCUUCAUGCCCUCCCCCUGCACAACCGUCGCCCGCCCACGAUGGUCCCCAUCCUCUCCGCAAGCCGCUCCACCUCCCCGCUCGUCCACGGUCUGCCCAUCGCGCCCGCUACCCCACAGUCUGCGCACCCUCCACGACGUCAGCACCACCUCCUCCAUGCCACCUCCACGCGUGCGCUGCGCCGCCUCCACGCUGCCGGCGCUGCUUCGCGCCGCCUAGGAGAGCGGCCAGGAGAUCUUGAUGCUUGACCAUGGAGGGAGAGGACGCCGCCAUACGCCGAGGGAUUGCCAUCACUAAUUAGCGCAGGAAUCUACUCAACUACAGGGAGCGCUAGGAGAUCUUGACGAUUGGCUGAUGGGGAGGACGCCGCGGCAGGAAGUUGCUCAACUGUAGGGGACUCGAGUCCCACGAAAGGCACCGGUGAGUCAUCUGAUCCCCUUCUAUCCUCAAUCCUCAGUCCUCACCCACCCCUCUUAGUACGUGUGGACUCACCAGUAAAAUUGGGUGUGGAUCAAAUUCAUCCAAUAAUUUAACAUGUGCUUGUGAACUCAUGACUCGCCAGCGUCUUUUGAUCAUUCAUUCCUUUUCUAAGUCAUCUCCCUGCAGUCGCAAGAGCUAGAUGGUGCUCUGCUUCUGUGCCGUUCUGUAGUGGGGCUGCUGUUUGAUUGGAUUUUUUUCAAAUGGCCAGCGGUGCUGAAUUGCUGGUUUGAUAUGGUUGUAUUCGCGUCAUGAUCAGAGCUUUUGGUGUUGAGCUCUUGCCUAUCGAUGCCUCGGAACCGUACUUUCUAUACUUAAUUGAUGAUGCAUUUGUUGUUCUUAUUUGUAACUUGGCAACUACUGCAAAUACAAGAGAUACUUAUUAAUUCUUCGUUCAGUCUUUUUGAAGUCUUUAGUAUGUCAGAGCAUUCCAGUGACAUUUCGAUAGUGGUGUUUCAGAGUAUUCCUGGAUAAUUUUAGUAUAGCUCAAAACCAAGACAGGGAAAAACAUACUAUUAAGUAACGUUUCAAAAUUUUGUGGAUUAGCAAUAACAUAGCUAUAAAAUUAUUCUAUCACGUGUAACCAAAGUUCCCUUGGAUUCUCUUUUUUUCUUAAUGGAAAUGUUAAUCCUGAUAAAUCAUUACAGACAACCAGUGAGAUCAGAUUCUCUAGAAUUUUCUAAUUUAGGUGUUGCUUCAAAGUUCAGUGUCUCCAAAAUAUCUUGAGAAGAAUACAUAAUUCAACUCCUGCUACAGCUCAUGCAUUCAUGUAUUUGUGAACUUUAGGAAAUGUGUGCUUAGAAAAAAGAAAGGCACAUGCAAUUUAGCUACCUAGAGUAUUCAAGGAAACCUCUUGCGUGUUUAAUAAAAAAAGAAUAAUAGAAUACAAAGAAAUACCUAAUCCAUAGAACUGUUCAGGCAGUUAGUUUCCUUUGAGAU